GCUUUGCUAUUAAUUUUUCAGAUUUUCUGGUCUUUUACAAGUUAGCAAACUGUACUGCAACACUUGUAUUUCAGAUUUUCCUGACUGGAUUGAAAAGAACCUGGAACCGACCUCAGAGGCAGCUGGAGUUAAGUGAAGUCAAUGGAACUGCUGCCAAGGAGAGGGUUGCGAGUGCAGCCAGCAUGGGAAAGGAUACAACCUCUAUGGAAACGUUUCCUCCUCUGUGCCUGCUGCAAGUGGCACACAAUGGAUCGUCAUUAUUCAACAGAGACUCUAAGUGCCAUGAAAAAGAAAUAAUUAAACUACAACUAUUUCAGUAGGUAAGUUUGGUUUUAUGAUAGCUGACACGGUACAUGGCCUGGGAGUUUCGCACAAAUACUUUAGGAGGAGGAAGUGCUGUUUAACUUCCGUUGAAAGAGAGAAGAAAUGCACACCUGCAUACCCAGGAUUCUCCAACUCCACAGCUGGGAGCUCCAGGACCAUGGCUUGUGCAUUUCAAAGAAAGAAAACUAAAAUCCUGCUGUUUCUACUGUUAUUUUUCCCAUCUUGCCAGACUUUCAUAUGACAGUCUGUGCUUGGGGACUCAAAACAAAAAGAUGAGAUUAAUU